GGAUUCAAUUGCAAGAACUACAGAGUGAAGCAAAACGGCCAUUGUAAAGAAUACUUCCCAUAUGCCAUCAAUUACUAAAUGACGCGGUCUAUACAAAGAAAAGGACAAAUCACAUACUUAAACACAAAUUCUGGAGGUAAAGUAAAAAUGAAGAUUUUUGUGGGUAGUUAUUAUUGACUUUUUUAUUAUUCAGAUUUUUGCGUUUGUGACAUUGCUCGCUGAGGUGCCAGUUAGAAAGUAGCUAAGAGCACAUGUACAUACCAAUGAAAAUGCAUUUUUCUGUCUCAAUUUGACUUUAGGUUAAGUUUGAUAGAUUUCAUGGGAAUUGGCUAUGUGAGCUUGAUGACAGCAAGAGGGAAUUUGAUACAAACAUUAACUUUUGUAAUUACUAAAACAUUAACCAACUAUAUUUUUAGAUGAUUGACAUUCCCUUAAAAAUAGUAGGCUUCAUAUUGUUCCGUAUGGCAUAAGUUGUUUGAUUGUUGAAACUGUGGAACUGUUUUGGUUGGUUGUAUGUUGAAGGCUAGAAUUUCUUCUUUAUUGAUUGUAAGGGAUGUUGAUGGUCAUUUAGUUAGUUGUACAACAUAAGUGGAAAGGAAUUUCGAGAACCUUGGAUAUUUGAGUUCUGUUGUAAAACUUAAUGGAAUAGAGGUUGAACUAACUCAAGCAUUGAGCCAAAUGAAUUGUCCUUUGAUAAUAUCUGAAUAUGAUUUUUAUUUUUUUUUGAACAAGCCAAGAUAAUAUCUGUAUAUGUUGGUUAGCUUCAGACACAAAAUGACCACUAAAGACUUUAUAUAAUCUCUUCAUGUGAAUUUUCAAUAGACUAUGAAGUAUAUGUUUCUUUUUAAACAUGUGAAUUUGAGUAGUUAGGCAAGUUGUCAAUCUACUAAUAAUUGUGUUGCUUAACAAAUAGCCGCCUCUGCAAUGUACUCAAGAAAUAUUGGAGGUGAUUUGCCUUCUAGGGCUGGUGCAAAAUUUAGGUCCAUAAAUUCUGCUUAAUAAAGAUUCUUAAAAAAAGAUCUUAUAAAGCACUUUGUUUCUUGCUUUAUGUACAGGUAUAUUGGUUCAAUGAUAACGGUGGAAGCCUAUAUGGAAUACAGAGUAUUACGAAUUGAUUAUAGUAGAGUUGGAGUCUAAUGGGUAAAAUUACUCAUUAUAUGCUUAUCUUUUUCCUGUAGUAACAUGUUUGGUGAAGUCACCGGUAACGCCUCAGCCGUAG
rnacentral:lncRNA from 1 species